GCUCAGAGUGAACGCUGGCGGUAGGCCUAACACAUGCAAGUCGAACGGCAGCACAGUAAGAGCUUGCUCUUAUGGGUGGCGAGUGGCGGACGGGUGAGGAAUACAUCGGAAUCUACCUUUUCGUGGGGGAUAACGUAGGGAAACUUACGCUAAUACCGCAUACGACCUUCGGGUGAAAGCAGGGGACCUUCGGGCCUUGCGCGGAUAGAUGAGCCGAUGUCGGAUUAGCUAGUUGGCGGGGUAAAGGCCCACCAAGGCGACGAUCCGUAGCUGGUCUGAGAGGAUGAUCAGCCACACUGGAACUGAGACACGGUCCAGACUCCUACGGGAGGCAGCAGUGGGGAAUAUUGGACAAUGGGCGCAAGCCUGAUCCAGCCAUACCGCGUGGGUGAAGAAGGCCUUCGGGUUGUAAAGCCCUUUUGUUGGGAAAGAAAAGCAGUCGAUUAAUACUCGGUUGUUCUGACGGUACCCAAA
rnacentral:rRNA from 1 species